GGCGUCAUAGCUCAACGGAUAGAGCCCUCGAUUUCUACACGAACGUGGUCGGGGAGAUGUGGGUUCGAGUCCCGCUGGCGCCA
rnacentral:tRNA from 1 species